rnacentral:rRNA from 1 species
UACGAAGGGUGCAAGCGUUAAUCGGAAUUACUGGGCGUAAAGCGCGCGUAGGUGGUUCAGUAAGUUGGAAGUGAAAUCCCCGGGCUCAACCUGGGAACUGCUUUCAAAACUGCUGAGCUAGAGUACGGUAGAGGGUGGUGGAAUUUCCUGUGUAGCGGUGAAAUGCGUAGAUAUAGGAAGGAACACCAGUAGCGAAGGCGACCACCUGGACUGAUACUGACACUGAGGUGCGAAAGCGUGGGGAGCAAACAGG